rnacentral:rRNA from 1 species
UACGUAGGGGUCGAGCGUUGUCCGGAAUUACUGGGCGUAAAGCGCGUGUAGGCGGCCCUGCAAGUCGGGUGUGAAAUCCCAUGGCUCAACCAUGGAAGUGCACUCGAAACUGCAGGGCUAGAGUCCUGGAGAGGAAGGUGGAAUGCUUGGUGUAGAGGUGAAAUUCGUAGAUAUCAAGCGGAACACCGGUGGCGAAGGCGGCCUUCUGGGACA